CACACACACACACACACACACACGUCUGAUAGAACCUUUAGCUGUGUUUGCAUUUUAUUCUGCUAACAUCUCAGUUUCAACCCAUUUUAGCAAAAGAGAAGGGAAGAGCAAGGAUGACUUGAGCAAUGGUUAAGUUGUUAUUUUUUUAAUUGCUAUUUAUUUAUUUUGUCUUAUUUUACUUCUCUUAUUGAGACAGGGUCACAUGUAGUCUAGACUGGUUUCCAGCAAGCUAACUGACUGUGUUGCUGAGUCUGGGCCUUGAACUCCUAAUCCUCACAAGUGCUGAAAUUACAGCAGUGUACUACCACACCCAGCCCUGAGUUUGUUUUUAACAGAGUUUGAGCAAGGCAGAACCUUAAGACUUAAUGAGCCAACGUAAUCCUAUCUGACCUCUCUGAUUGCAGACAAGGAAGUCUCGGCUUCUGCUCUGAGGCAAUCUUGGAGAGAGGACAUGUAGAUUCCAGUAUGGUCCUGUCGGCCUAUUGAGUAUGUGACAGUCUCUUUCGGGGUUGGCCUCCCCAGCAGGAAAGCAAGACUGAAAACAGUCUGUGAGCAGCUCCCUGAGACCUCAGACCACUUGGUGCUGCAAAGCCAGAUCACAAGGCAGACUUGUCUUAGCAAGGGGAUGGAAAUACAGAACACCGUCUCCAGAGAGGUGCCUACCUCCAAAGAGAAUGCUUGAAACAACAGCUAGCUCUCCUUGGUGUCCUUCGCUCCCCCUACUUCACUGUGUACCCCAGCGCUCGAGGGAGGAGAACACGGAGAACACUAGGACAUGGCAGACUAGUAAGCUCAACGGAGCUGAAGGCCUUUAAAUAGCAGUACUUCAUGUGACAGCCUCCAUCCACAUCUACCAGCUGCGGGAGCGGAGAGCCUUACUGAUGGACGCCACUCAGACAUGACUAGAAGGUCUAGGUUGAUGGCUCAGCUGGUAAUGUGCCCACUGUGUAAGCAAGAGAACCUUCCUUUAGAUCCUGAGAAUUCAUGUACAAUGGCAGUGUAUGCUGUAACUUCAGUCGUGGGGCCUAUGAAUGGGGACAGAGACAGCUGGGUCCCUGAAGACCAUUGGCCAGCAAACCUAACUGAACCAAUAAGCUGCAGGUUCAGUGUAAGACCUUGUCUCAAUAAAUAAAGGUGACAAGGGAUUCAGGAAAGUCACUUCUAGCAUUUGAAGACUGGGUCCCCAGUUGGUGGCUGUUGGCAGAGGAGGUGUGGCCUUGCUGGAGGAAGUGUGUCACUGGAUUGAACUCGAGGUUUCAAAAGCCUGAUGUGAUUUCAAACUGGCUCUCUGCUUCCUGCUUGUGGAUCAAGAUGUGAGUUGUCAGCAGCUGCAGCGGCACCAGGCCUGUCUGCUACCGUUUGCCCCAGUGGCAGGCUUUUCUCCCUCGAACUGUGGAUCCCAAAUAAACCCUUCUUUCUGCAA